UGGGGAAUUUUGGACAAUGGGCGAAAGCCUGAUCCAGCAAUGCCGCGUGUGUGAAGAAGGCCUUCGGGUUGUAAAGCACUUUUGUCCGGAAAGAAAUCCUUGGCUCUAAUACAGUCGGGGGAUGACGGUACCGGAAGAAUAAGCACCGGCUAACUACGUGCCAGCAGCCGCGGUAAUACGUAGGGUGCAAGCGUUAAUCGGAAUUACUGGGCGUAAAGCGUGCGCAGGCGGUUUGCUAAGACCGAUGUGAAAUCCCCGGGCUCAACCUGGGAACUGCAUUGGUGACUGGCAGGCUAGAGUAUGGCAGAGGGGGGUAGAAUUCCACGUGUAGCAGUGAAAUGCGUGAGAUGUGGAGGAAUACCGAUGGCGAAGGCAGCCCCCUGGGGCCAAAUACUGACGCUCAUGCACGAAAAGCGUGGGGGAGCAAACAGGAUUAGAUACCCUGGUAGUCCACGCCCUAAAACGAUGUCAACUAGUUGUUGGGGAUUCAUUUCCUUAGUAACGUAGCUAACGCGUGAAGUUGACCGCCUGGGGAGUACGGUCGCAAGAUUAAAACUCAAAUGAAUUGACGGGG
rnacentral:rRNA from 1 species